rnacentral:rRNA from 1 species
GACGAACGCUGGCGGCGUGCUUAACACAUGCAAGUCGAACGGAAAGGCCCUGCUUUUGUGGGGUGCUCGAGUGGCGAACGGGUGAGUAACACGUGAGUAACCUGCCCUUGACUUUGGGAUAACUUCAGGAAACUGGGGCUAAUACCGGAUAGGAGCUCCUGCUGCAUGGUGGGGGUUGGAAAGUUUCGGCGGUUGGGGAUGGACUCGCGGCUUAUCAGCUUGUUGGUGGGGUAGUGGCUUACCAAGGCUUUGACGGGUAGCCGGCCUGAGAGGGUGACCGGCCACAUUGGGACUGAGAUACGGCCCAGACUCCUACGGGAGGCAGCAGUGGGGAAUAUUGCACAAUGGGCGGAAGCCUGAUGCAGCAACGCCGUGUGCGGGAGGACGGCCUUCGGGUUGUAAACCGCUUUCGCCUGUGACGAAGCGUGAGUGACGGUAAUGGGUAAAGAAGCACCGGCUAACUACGU